CUCUGGGUGGUGCAAAGGGUUAACAUGCUUGGCUGCUAACCAAAAGGCUGGAGGUUUGAGUCUACCCAGAGA
rnacentral:tRNA from 1 species